GAUGAACGCUGGCGGCGUGCCUAAUACAUGCAAGUCGAGCGAACAGAUGAGGAGCUUGCUCCUCUGACGUUAGCGGCGGACGGGUGAGUAACACGUGGAUAACCUACCUAUAAGUCUGGGAUCACUUCGGGACACCGGAGCUAAUCCCGGAUAAUAUAUUGAACCGCAUGGUUCAAUAGUGAGAGACGGUUUUGCUGUAUCUUCUAGCUGGAUCCGCGCCGCAUUAGCUAGUUGGUAAGGUAACGGCUUAUCAAGGCUACGAUGCGUAGCCGACCUGAGAGGGGGAUCGGCCACACGGGAACUGAGACACGGCCCAGACGCCUACGGGAGGCAGCAGUAGGGAAUGUGCCGCAAUGGGGGAAAGCCUUACGGAGCAACGCCGCGUGAGUGAUGAAGGUCUUCGGAGCGUAAAACUCUGUUAUGAGUGAAGAACAAAUGUGUAAGUAACUAUGCACGUCUUGACGGUACCGAAUCAGAAAGCCACGGCUAACUACGUG
rnacentral:rRNA from 1 species